CUUUACUAUAACCUGGUAUUGUUGCUUGAUUUUUAAUACGUAGAAUAGGUGGGAGACUAUGAAGCUUUUCUUCAGGGAAAAGCAGAGUCGACAGUGAAAUACCACUUUUUAAUCAUUAGGCAUCUAACCUUGAUCCAUAAGCUGGAUAAGGAACAGUGCUAGGGGGCUAGUUUGACUGGGGCGGUCUCCUCCUAAAGUGUAACGGAGGGUUGCGAAGGUUUCCUCAAGCUGGUUGGCAACCAGCUGGCGAGCGUAUGGGUAUAAGGAAGCUUUACUGUAAGACAUACAAGUCGAGCAGUUACGAAAGUAGGCCCAAGUGAUCCGGUAGUUGGAAGUGGAACUGCUACCGCUUAAAGGAUAAAAGCUA
rnacentral:rRNA from 1 species